UCGGGAAUUUUGGGCAAUGGGCGAAAGCCUGACCCAGCAACGCCGCGUGAAGGAUGAAGUAUUUCGGUAUGUAAACUUCGAAAGAAUAGGAAGAAUAAAUGACGGUACUAUUUAUAAGGUCCGGCUAACUACGUGCCAGCAGCCGCGGUAAUACGUAGGGACCAAGUGUUGUUCGGAUUUACUGGGCGUAAAGGGCGCGUAGGCGGCAAUUCAAGUCAUCUGUGAAAUCUCCGGGCUUAACUCGGAACGGUCAGAUGAUACUGCUUUGCUAGAGUGCAGAAGGGGCAAUCGGAAUUCUUGGUGUAGCGGUGAAAUGCGUAGAUAUCAAGAGGAACACCUGAGGUGAAGACGGGUUGCUGGGCUGACACUGACGCUGAGGCGCGAAAGCCAGGGGAGCAAACGGGAUUAGAUACCCAUGUAGUCCCUGAGCGGGCUGGCAAGGCGCAU
rnacentral:rRNA from 1 species